rnacentral:rRNA from 1 species
UACGAAGGGGGCGAGCGUUGUUCGGAAUUACUGGGCGUAAAGGGCGCGCAGGCGGCCGAUCAAGUCAGGCGUGAAAGCCCCGGGCUUAACCUGGGAAUUGCGCUUGGGACUGGUUGGCUUGAGUUCGGGAGAGGAGAGUGGAAUUCCCAGUGUAGAGGUGAAAUUCGUAGAUAUUGGGAAGAACACCGGUGGCGAAGGCGGCUCUCUGGACCGAUACUGACGCUGAGGCGCGAAAGCUAGGGGAGCAAACAGG